GGGCCCGCACAAGCGGUGGAGUAUGUGGUUUAAUUCGAUGCAACGCGAAGAACCUUACCUACUCUUGACAUCCAGAGAAGCCAGCGGAGACGCAGGUGUGCCUUCGGGAGCUCUGAGACAGGUGCUGCAUGGCUGUCGUCAGCUCGUGUUGUGAAAUGUUGGGUUAAGUCCCGCAACGAGCGCAACCCUUAUCCUUGUUUGCCAGCGAGUAAUGUCGGGAACUCCAGGGAGACUGCCGGUGAUAAACCGGAGGAAGGUGGGGACGACGUCAAGUCAUCAUGGCCCUUACGAGUAGGGCUACACACGUGCUACAAUGGCGUAUACAGAGGGCAGCAAGCUAUCUCAGUUCGGAUUGUCGUCUGCAACUCGACGGCAUGAAGUCGGAAUCGCUAGUAAUCGCGUAACAGCAUGACGCGGUGAAUACG
rnacentral:rRNA from 1 species